rnacentral:rRNA from 1 species
CGCGGCCUAUCAGCUUGUUGGUGAGGUAACGGCUCACCAAGGCGACGACGGGUAGCUGUUCUGAGAGGAAGAUCAGCCACACUGGGACUGAGACACGGCCCAGACUCCUACGGGAGGCAGCAGUGGGGAAUCUUGCGCAAUGGGCGAAAGCCUGACGCAGCGAUGCCGCGUGCGGGAAGACGGCCUUCGGGUUGUAAACCGCUUUCAGCAGGGACGAAGCGGAAGUGACGGUACCUGGAGAAGAAGCACCGGCUAACUACGUGCCAGCAGCCGCGGUAAUACGUAGGGUGCGAGCGUUGUCCGGAAUUAUUGGGCGUAAAGAGCUUGUAGGCGGUUUGUCGCGUCUGCUGUGAAAGACCGGGGCUUAACUCCGGUUCUGCAGUGGGUACGGGCAGGCUAGAGUAUGGUAGGGGAGACUGGAAUUCCUGGUGUAGCGGUGAAAUGCGCAGAUAUCAGGAGGAACACCGAUGGCGAAGGCAGGUCUCUGGGCCAUUACUGACGCUGAGAAGCGAAAGCAUGGGGAGCGAACAGGAUUAGAUACCCUGGUAGUCCAUGCCGUAAACGUUGGGCGCUAGGUGUGGGACUCAUUCCACGAGUUCCGUGCCGCAGCUAACGCAUUAAGCGCCCCGCCUGGGGAGUACGG